rnacentral:rRNA from 1 species
AUUGAACGCUGGCGGCAGGCCUAACACAUGCAAGUCGAGCGGAUGAAGGGAGCUUGCUCCUGGAUUCAGCGGCGGACGGGUGAGUAAUGCCUAGGAAUCUGCCUGGUAGUGGGGGAUAACGUCCGGAAACGGGCGCUAAUACCGCAUACGUCCUGAGGGAGAAAGUGGGGGAUCUUCGGACCUCACGCUAUCAGAUGAGCCUAGGUCGGAUUAGCUAGUUGGUGGGGUGAAGGCCUACCAAGGCGACGAUGCGUAACUGGUCUGAGAGGAUGAUCAGUCACACUGGAACUGAGACACGGUCCAGACUCCUACGGGAGGCAGCAGUGGGGAAUAUUGGACAAUGGGCGAAAGCCUGAUCCAGCCAUGCCGCGUGUGUGAAGAAGGUCUUCGGAUUGUAAAGCACUUUAAGUUGGGAGGAAGGGCAGUAAGUUAAUACCUUGCUGUUUUGACGUUACCAACAGAAUAAGCACCGGCUAACUUCGUG